rnacentral:lncRNA from 1 species
CCACACGUGUAUUCCAGCACUUUGGGAAGCCGAGGCAGGCAGAUCACAUGAGGUCAGGAGUUCGAGACCAGCCUGGCCAACAUGGUGAAACUCCUUCUCUACUAAAAAUACAAAAAAAAAAUUAGCCGGGUGUGGUGGUGUGCGACUGUAAUCCCUGCUAAUGGGGAGGCGGAGGUUGCAGUGAGAGGAGAUCGCACCACUGCACUGCAGCCUGGGCGACAAAGCAAGACUCCAUCUCAAAACAAACAAACAAACAAACAAACAAACAAAAAACAGACGAAAUAGGGUUUGAGUAUGUAGUCUGCUCUCAACAUGAGAUAGUAAAGUCUUUGCUUCCCUUAUAUUCUGUUAAUUAACUCAUUUGAUGCACAUCGAUGUAUAAAGCCUUUAACUUCUAUUUAUUCUUUUCCUUGAAAAGCAUGCGGAAUGCCUUCUCAGGACUCUCCCAUUUUUUAUUUGUGAACACCCACUGGCAUUCCCGGAUACGAAGCUUGCAAGAAGGUGUGAACCGCCCUAUACUCGUGAGCCCCUGGGGCUCUGUACUCUUUCCAGCCCACAUUUGACCUCAGUCAAUUUUUAAAUGAUUCCAGCUAAAUUCUUCUUACCAGUGCCCAGCUGUACCUGCCUUAGGUAAUCCUCUUACUCUGGGCUAUGAACUUGCUACUGCCAAGAUGGAUGCCAUGAAAAAAAGAGAUCUCAUCAAAAUGGUCACAGAGAGAUGGAGGGCCUCUGUGUAGAUGGCAGGGUGGUGGUGGCCGUGUAACUAGCUGCCCGGUGAGGAGCAGCCCUUGGGGAGAGCCCAGGUAGGACCAGGAGAAGCAGAAAUAGAGAAAAGUGAAAGAUCGAGGUGGAAAGAACAUGAGGGACAAGAGCUCUGCAUGGCCACAUCACCAGCAGUCUUGUUAUUACAAUGAGGAUGAAGGGACUGAAAAGAGGGGAAGAGAUGGAAUUCAUCAAACAACAGUGCUCAUUCAUACAAGAUACAAGAUUAAGCCUUGGGUCUCCCUGGCAGUGGAGGGCGAUUCUGAUAUUCACAUAUAACUACCCACAGGGCAUGGAUUCUGAGAGAUGCUGAUAAAAGAAGUUGGUGUCUUCUUGGCAUUUGUCCCCAAGGAUCUUCCAAUACCCAGAGAAUCUGCAUUUACACAGAUCAUGCUCCCUUGGGAGCUUCUCUUGACUGCCCCCCACACCCUCAUUCGUGGCUUUUCCUCUUUGAUCUCCCACUUCAGUCCUCACACCUGUCAACACUGUGCUUAUUACCAUGUGGAGUGGUUAGAAGAUCUUCCCAGAGUCAAGACAUUUCCAGGGUCACCCUUCUCUUAGGCAUUUCUUGGCACGACUGUCCUGAAUAAAGGAAAGGAGAUGAAGGUGAUGUUGAGAAGCAUCUAGAGGGCUGGAGUCAGGGGGAACCGGCUGAGGCUGUUGGAUCAAGUUUUAGCCACUGGUAAAAGACCUCCAAGCUGCGAAUGCUAUUGCCAUCUGUGUAAAGUCGCCUCCGAGAUUAGAACAUGCCAAAGACUGAAGAAAGAGGUCUAGGUAGCAUAAAGCCAUCAUGUAAUUGAAGUUUCUUCCGUUUCCAAGGACAGGAAGCGUGCAAAUGGCUCUGCGUUCUCAGUAGGGGUGGGGCUAAGAAGUGAGCCUGCAAAUGGUAGUUUGGGCGAAGACUUGUGUGAUGCAUGCAGGGACUCAAAUUUAGUGUCCUCUGAACACAAACACCCUCUAUGAUCCGGGUUAGGUAUCGCUCCUGUGAACGUUCAAAGAACACCUUUAUAUUCUGAGGGGACACCGUUCAUCAUCAGAUCACUGUUGACGGAAGCCAGGUGACAGCUUUGUAUUUCGUGUUUUCCCCUUUAGUAAUGUAAAAAUAGAAGUUAUUUCUCCUUUCUUCCAAUGUAGGAUUUUUUUUUUUGAGAGGGUCUCUGUCACCCAGGCUGGAGUGCAGUGACACAAACACAGCUCACUACAUCCUUGACCUCUUGGGUUCAGAUGGUCCUCCCGCCUCAGCCUCCUUAGUAGCUGGGACGACAGGCACAUUCCACCGGCCCGGCUAAUUUCUUUUUAAAGUUUUUGUAGAGAUAGGGCUCUCACUAUGUUGCCCAGACUGGUCUUGAACUCCUGAGCUCAAGCGAUUCUCUCACCUUGGCCUCCCAGAGUGUUGGGAUUACAAGCGCGAGCCACCACACCCAGCCCAGUGUAGGAAUGUUUAAUUCCUCCACUUGCUAUCAAAGAAAACUGCUAACUUUCUUAUUUCCUAAUUUCUCUUUUUCUAUUUGCUUCUCCUUAGGUUCUGCUCUUGGGUGCUAUCUCCUUAGUUUUGAGAAUAUGAAGGUUUGUUUAGAAAAAAAAAAGCAGAAAAAAUUCACUGGAAGAUUUCACAUUUGUAUAUAUCUUUAUGAAAUGUGACAGUGAAGUGUUAGGGUAGAGAUAUUUGAUCUGAUUACCAUUAGGAUAAAAUCAAAUCUCCUUACCAUGUCUUACAUGUGUACUUGUCCAAUCUUGUCUCCUAUAAUUGUCCAACCAACCCGUUCUGUUCCAGCCUCACUGGCCUUCUUAUUCUUUCACGAAGCUCACACUGUCCUCCAGAGCCUUGCACUCUCUUUUGCCUGGAAUGCUCUCCCAGAUCUUAACAUGAUAGGAAAACAAAAGACAACUGUUUGUCAUGUCUACUACAGUCUCAGCCCCAUGAGGCAGAGUCCAUGCCCAUUUUCCUUCCAUGCAACAUUCCUGGCACCUAGAGAGUGACUGAUGCAUAAUGGCUGGUAAAAUAUUUGAUUAAAAAAUAUUUUAGUGUAUUUCCUCCCCCAAAAUAUACAUACACAACAGAGGCAGUUAUUUUGUCUAUAUCUUUAGCACAUUUUAGGCAUUUAGUAAAUUUCUGUUGAAUCCAUAUGGAAUUCUUCAGAUUGAUCUGUGAACACUUUAGAUUUGAAAAAGGAGAAAAUCAUAAAACUAAGGGUAAUGGGGAGAGAGCAAAACCAAAGGCAGACAUGGGAAGAUUCUCCUUAUACAAAAUACUUUUUCCAUGUCUAUAAUGAACCCCCAAAUUAUCUGGAUACUUACAACAGUGGUAGCAAGGGAAUGUCUCGUUAAUGCAGGUUCUCUAUUCUCCUCAAUUAAUUUCAGGUCCUUAAUUGUGCAUGACAUAUGAAACAUAAAGGGUGUUUAUUUGCUAAUCACCAGCAUUAAUUAAUUCAAAGACUUACCUGAGAUUCUGUUUGCGCAAUAAAAAUUAAAAAGAUUACUCAGUAAUACAUUGGGAGAGGUGUAACUGGGGCAUUAAAAUACGAAUGUGUGUCUAAUUUUCAAACAUCAUAAGUAUUUUGAAAGCACUUAUACAUAAUCAAUUAAUAUAUGUUGUUAACUAAAUUCAUAUGAAUAAUAUGUGAUAUAAAUUAGUGUUUUGUAUUAAUUUCAAGACAAUUAGAAAGAGAAUGUCACCAUCACUCUUUUGAUUCAAUCAACAGUCCUUAGACUGGUUCCUUGUAAUGAAUUUAAUGGGUUAGUAAAAGCUGUGUUAUUUGAAAUU